UACGUAGGGGGCAAGCGUUGUCCGGAUUUAUUGGGCGUAAAGAGCGUGUAGGCGGCCUGACAGGUCUGCUGUGAAAACUCGAGGCUCAACCUCGAGAUGUCGGCGGAAACCGUCUGGCUAGAGUCCGGAAGAGGAGAGUGGAAUUCCUGGUGUAGCGGUGAAAUGCGCAGAUAUCAGGAAGAACACCUAUGGCGAAGGCAGCUCUCUGGGACGGUACUGACGCUGAGACGCGAAAGCGUGGGGGAGCGAACAGGAUUAGAUACCGA
rnacentral:rRNA from 1 species